rnacentral:rRNA from 1 species
GAGUUUGAUCCUGGCUCAGAUUGAACGCUGGCGGCAUGCCUUACACAUGCAAGUCGAACGGCAGCACGGGGGCAACCCUGGUGGCGAGUGGCGAACGGGUGAGUAAAGCAUCGGAACGUACCCAGUAGUGGGGGAUAGCCCGGCGAAAGCCGGAUUAAUACCGCAUACGACCUGAGGGUGAAAGCGGGGGACCGGAUAGUGAUAUCUGGCCUCGCGCUAUUGGAGCGGCCGAUGUCAGAUUAGGUAGUUGGUGGGGUAAAGGCCUACCAAGCCUGCGAUCUGUAGCUGGUCUGAGAGGACGACCAGCCACACUGGGACUGAGACACGGCCCAGACUCCUACGGGAGGCAGCAGUGUUUUAUUUUUGUCAAUGGUCGUAAGCCUGAUCCAGCCAUGCCGCGUGCGGGAAGAAGGCCUUCGGGUUGUAAACCGCUUUUGUCAGGGAAGAAAAGCUCUGGGUUAAUACCCUGGGGUGAUGACGGUACCUGAAGAAUAAGCACCGGCUAACUACGUGCCAGCAGCCGCGGUAAUACGUAGGGUGCGAGCGUUAAUCGGAAUUACUGGGCGUAAAGCGUGCGCAGGCGGUUGUGCAAGACAGAUGUGAAAUCCCCGGGCUCAACCUGGGAACUGCAUUUGUGACUGCAUGACUGGAGUGCGGCAGAGGGGGAUGGAAUUC